GAGGUUAAGCGACUAAGCGUACACGGUGGAUGCCCUGGCAGUCAGAGGCGAUGAAGGACGUGCUAAUCUGCGAUAAGCGCCGGUAAGGUGAUAUGAACCGUUAUAACCGGCGAUUUCCGAAUGGGGAAACCCAGUGUGACUCGUCACACUAUCAUUAACUGAAUCCAUAGGUUAAUGAGGCGAACCGGGGGAACUGAAACAUCUAAGUACCCCGAGGAAAAGAAAUCAACCGAGAUUCCCCCAGUAGCGGCGAGCGAACGGGGAGGAGCCCAGAGCCUGAAUCAGCAUGUGUGUUAGUGGAAGCGUCUGGAAAGGCGCGCGAUACAGGGUGACAGCCCCGUACACAAAAGCGCAUGUGCUGUGAGCUCGAUGAGUAGGGCGGGACACGUGGUAUCCUGUCUGAAUAUGGGGGGACCAUCCUCCAAGGCUAAAUACUCCUGACUGACCGAUAGUGAACCAGUACCGUGAGGGAAAGGCGAAAAGAACCCCGGCGAGGGGAGUGAAAAAGAACCUGAAACCGUGUACGUACAAGCAGUGGGAGCACCCUUUGGGGUGUGACUGCGUACCUUUUGUAUAAUGGGUCAGCGACUUAUAUUCUGUAGCAAGGUUAACCGAAUAGGGGAGCCGGAGGGAAACCGAGUCUUAACCGGGCGUUAAGUUGCAGGGUAUAGACCCGAAACCCGGUGAUCUAGCCAUGGGCAGGUUGAAGGUUGGGUAACACUAACUGGAGGACCGAACCGACUAAUGUUGAAAAAUUAGCGGAUGACCUGUGGCUGGGGGUGAAAGGCCAAUCAAACCGGGAGAUAGCUGGUUCUCCCCGAAAGCUAUUUAGGUAGCGCCUCGUG
rnacentral:rRNA from 1 species